rfam:Ensifer adhaerens OV14 chromosome 1 sequence.
GGAGGGAUGCCCGAGUGGUUAAAGGGGACGGACUGUAAAUCCGUUGGCUCAGCCUACGUUGGUUCAAAUCCAACUCCCUCCA